GUAACAUCGUACUUUUUAGAGCUUCCAUCGUGAUAUAACAGCGGCAGCACUGUAAUAUUUAUUUUGUUAAAAAGUAAAUAGAAAUAUUAAAUAAUCAAACAACUAAAAUGUCGAAAGUAAUUCUAUUAUUAUUGUCAAUUUUCUUGAUAAUUGGCUUUCAUGCUAGUGCAGUUCAAGCAGGAUGCCCCGGCAGAUGGUGUCAUCCCUCGCAGGGUUAAACUUGUUGCAAAGGUUUUAGCUGCUCCGGAGACCUUCUUCAAGGCACCUGUUAUUCUAAUUCCCAAGUCUCGGGCCAUGGGCCAUAAGUAGUGAAAAGAAAUGAUGGUGAUAUAUAAUUCCAUACAGGCAGUACAAAAUUCUAUUAUUCCGGAGCCUAUUCUCUAAGAUACAAAUUUCAAUGCAAUAUAUUUUUGGAAGUCAAUCAAUUGUAACAGUCACAUCAAAAAGUCACUUUUUGUCUGUGUUUAUAUAUCUUAUCAUUUAUGUCAGUUUUUGGUUUGACACAAUCAAUAAAUAAAGACGCAAACCAA